CAGGCCACCGUACAGUUUUCAACGAUUAAACAAGUUCAUACCAUAUACUAAGCUAUUAAAGAUCACGGGAUAACAAAAUUGGCAAAGAUUGAGCCGAAAAAAACAACAGUUCUAAUCAUGCUUAUAGAAUUAAACAAAAAAGAAUUUUGACAUAGAUUAUUAUAUUAAAUAAAGGCUGAUACACAAUAAUAAAACUUAAACUUUUAGAACUGGAAAAUCCCACUUUUACACAUUCCUCUCCCCGUAGAAUAUAUAUGAAUAUGACGUAUGCGUUCCAUGUUAUGUUAUAAUAAGAACUAUACCACAUUAAAACCUCUAAAAGAUAAUUAUUUUAAUAUGAAAAUAAAAAAAUCGACUUUUUGAACAAAUGUCCAAUAUUUAUUUAAUUUUCACAAAUUAUAUCUCUUCCGCAGUAUCACAUGUAAGCGAUACAUUAGUUGAAAACUGAUUCAAGGUGGAUAGGUUUUUUUUCUGGAUACAACGAACAAAUUAUACAAAGAAGGAAGAUUUCAUGAUAGAUUCACACUUUUGUAAUUAUUAUUACUGAACUUGUACAUGUUGUAAUAUAUUUCUGUAAUGAAUUAUUGUAAAAAUCAUUGUCUACUAGGAUGUGUGAAUUCUUUCAUUCAUAAUAUCUGUUAUGCCCCCACAAAUAUAUUGUUUCAUUUAAAAACACGGAAGUGUAAAGUGUUUCUAGGAAUCAUCCUGUUUGUCCGUCCGUCCGUCUGUCUGUCAAUCAUUCUGUAUAUGUGAAAUAAGGAUUUUGCAUGAUUGCCGAUGAGACAACCAUCCAACAAAAUAUAAAUGACGUAGACGAAAGCAAUUAUAGGCCCCCAUACGACCUUUCAACAAUUAAUAAAACCCAUACAUACCGUAUAUUGAGCUAUAAAAGGUCCCGACAUGACAAAA